rnacentral:lncRNA from 1 species
AUAAAACCUAGAGGUCAAACAGGGAAAUGGUUCCAAUCAUUGUUCCACCAGUUCAUUUUUCCCAUAGGGGAUUUUAAAAACACUUAAAAUAAGGGCUGUGUUUUGUGUAGGCUUACCCUGGCGUGAUGUUUUGAUAACCGUGUAAAUCUCUCUCGGACAAGGUGAGGUUUUUAAAUAGAACAUCCACCUGCAUUCUGUCUGGAGGAAAGAAUCCCUACAUGCUGCACAACUACGGCAGCAGGGGUAGAAGCCAGUCAGUCUUCAGUCAGUUCUUUUGGGGGUGACAUGAGUGUCAGACUGAACAACGAAGUCCCUGACAUUCCUGGCCCUGCAGUAUGAAAAGAGAAGAGUCUGAGAAAAUCUUUUGCCAAGUAGGAUCAGCCAUGAGCACAUUCCAAUGUAUCUUAAUAGCGGCAAGCUCACUCAAGCACAGAUAAAGUAUUUUAAAUUAUUUUGAGUAGUAUUUGAACGCAGGUCUAUAAUACAAAAGGUUAUCAUAUUGACCUGGCAUGUCUAACUCAUUGGCAUAUUCAUUAACUGUAGUUCAUUUGCAUUAAACAGCCCAUGAAAUGUCAUUGACAUUGCAUAUUAAUACAUCCAACUCAUUCUUUAAUCACUUCAAACUGUUGAUAUUGUGCUGGGAAGAUUGCUUUAGCUAUUUACAAGAACCUCCAUGAGCUUUGUAAGCAAAAGUCAAAUGAGAAAGUAAAUAUGACUCUGGCUAAGUUUGGCCUUUGCUCACUUGGCUUAAAGUGUGUUGAUCUGGGCCUACGCUGUGUUCCUGACAGUGUGCAAUGCAACGUGUGUAUCCGUCUCUGCGUCCUACAUGGCACCCUAUUCCCCAUAUGGCUCUGGUCGAAAGCUGUGCACUAUAUAGGGAAUAGGGUGCCAUUUGGGACGCAGUUGGUGUGUGAUAGAACGCGAUUCUGUAUUUAGAAGCUCCUGAACCCCAGUGACGCACAUCGACAGGGCUGAGCUUCCACUCACCUUCCACAUAGCGCCUCACGCUCCCACUUAGCAACACCAGUGGGUAUAAAUAACCAACCAGGAACCGCGUUUAGCCUCCCAGCACCACACGCUCUGAUUCUGGAACAAUCAGAAACUCUGGCUCUCAUCACAUUAAGUUUUGUUUUUCACUCCCUCCCUCUCACUCGCUUUCUCUCUCCCUUUUCCUCUCUUUCUCUUUCCUCCUUUAAUAGGUGAUGACACCUUCACUGUCAUCACCUAUUAAAUGGGCGAUGAAAGUUGUUCAGCCAGACAAGAAAAUGUAUAGACCCAACCUACGUCACAUAGGGGAUCGCUGUGUGAUAGCUGGCCCAUGGGUCUAACUGCUUAGCAGGACCUCUAGGGCAGAAUGUUCGACUGAUCUUCAUCGAGAGACAUCAGACAACUUGUCUUCAUCACACCUCCACAGUGGCUCAGGCGUUACAUCGCUACACUGAUCUGAUGAAACCACUUUGACAAGGAUGCCUUCAAAAUGUCUCUCUUAGAAAAUACACUUUUGAUAAGACGUAAUGAUGUGUAUACAAUCAUCCAGAACCCACCGUAUUAUAUUAUUUAACCAAUCAAUGUGUCAAUAGAGGCACAGAGAGAUGGGGUCACCAAUGGUACUGAAACCUUCAAAGGGACAUGACAUAAUGUGUCAUCAAGUUUACACUGUUAUCUGAAAAAGUAUGUUGCUCAAGAUAUACAGUAGGUCAGUUGAAAUAUUUGUCGUCCCCAUCCAACAAAGAGAAUUCUAAACACUAACAUGAGGGGACGUAGUGGCAUUAAAUAGCAGAUAACGUGGGAUACUGCAUGAAGGAGUAAAUAAAAAGUAGUAGUACUGUUUCAAAAACAACAGCAUAACCCUUCAGAAACUGUGUCUGCAUGGACAUGAAAAAAAAAACACUCGAUCAGGCAGCCAUUUGAUCAGGCAGCCAUUUUGAGCAUAGUGCUGAGUCACUUUGUUUAUGUGAGGUCAACUCUGCCAUUCUCUCCUCUGUUUAUUUCUUCCUAGCUUUAAAUCUCUCUAUCCUUCCUUUUCCCCAUUUUAUUUUCUCUCUCUUACUCUCUGCCUCUCUCUCUCUCUUACUCUCUGUCUCUCUCUCUCUCUCUCUCUCUCUGUACUGAAUUUCUAAUCUAAUGAAUUUCUAAUCUACUACCAUAAGAGAGAACAUUGCAUCAUUAACUCUCUGAAUACUGUUGGUCAUUGCCUAGGGUGAAAUCAGAUGACUGAAUUAGAGGAUAAUUAAAUUGAAAUGAAAUGCGAGUAGUAAAUAGUUUUUCCUCACAUCAAGCCGUAUACCACCUUUUUAAGAGAAUUCCUUUCAAGCUAAAGUAAGAUAUUUCCGGCAUCACAGUUGUAUACUACUUUGAGGGGGAUCACUGUAGAAUCCCUGGGUCUACCCUAUGAUGAUGGCUCAGUACCCUGUCACUUCAUCUAAAGAGGAGAGAGGAGGGAUAUAUUAGGUGACUGUGCCAGUAAUGACCUAGAUCAGGGUCCUUCCUUCCUGGGUGCACGUUUUUGUUUUUCCCUAGCACUACAGAGCUGAUUCAUAUAAUCGAAGAUCGAUGAUGAGUUGGUCAUUUAAAUCAGGUGUUUAGUGCUAGGGCAAAAACAUUUAGGAAAUCCAUAACAUAUUGUAUAUUAAGCAAAUUCAUCACAUCGUUGUACAUUUUGCAAAUUGUAACAUUUCAUAUAAAUUGUCAUUCGUAACAUAUCAUAUGAAAUGCGUGAUGGACAUCCACAGAUUAAUACAUACCAUACGAAACGUAACAUAUCACACUAAAUGGAGUGUCACGGAUUUACGUACAGAAUAAUACGAAAUGCUCUGAGACCAGGUGGCUCUGAAUCACUGACUGUUUUAAAGGCUUUGUGAUGACAAUGGGACUGUGCGCCAGCAGCUACUGCUUACACCGACCUCAGUUGGCCAUCCAGAGGGAAAACACUACAGAGGCCUUUUGAGCUGCACGUUGAAGGGAUUUUCUGUCUAAGUACUCACACCCCCUUGUGGCUGUGUUUGAGGACACCGACUGGGUGGUCUCAAUCGUCUAUCUUGCUGUAUUCAGCAAACUGAACAAUCUGAAUCUAACUCUGCAAGGUAAAGGCAAAGUCUGCGGUUUCAUGAAUACUAGCUUUAAGCACCAGCUGUCAGAGCAGCUCAUAGAUCACUGCACCUGUACAUAGCCCACCUGUAAUUAGCCCAUCCAACUACCUCAUCCCCAUACUGUAUUUAUUUAUUUAUCUUGCUCCUUUGCACCCCAGUAUCUCUACUUGUAUACUCAUCUUCUGCACAUCUACCACUCCAGUGUUUAAUUGCUAUAUUGUAAUUAUUUCGCCACUAUGGCCUAUUUAUUGCCUUACCUCCGUUAUCCUACCUCAUUUUCACACACUGUAUAUAUACUUUUUCUACUGUAUUAUUGACUGUAUGCUUGUUUAUUCCAUGUGUAACUGUGUUGUUUGUGUCGCACUGCUAUGCUUUAUCUUGGCUAGGUCGCAGUUGUAAAUGAGAACUUGUUCUCAACUAGCCUACCUGGUUAAAUAAAGGUGAAAUAAAAAUAAAAAAAUGAAGAAGAUCAAACUCUGGGAGAGGAAAUGUGAAAAUGGGGAUAUAACUGGCUUUCUACAGGUGAUGUUGGCAGAGCUCCUCUGAAAUAGUAAGCUCACAUGUAUCCAAACUCAGUGAGUUGAACUCCUCCUUCACAUUGAGAAGCAGUCUGCCAAACUUGACUGGGUGUGUAAUCAUUUCAUGCCUGACAGUGCCAACAACAACAUUCCCACCAGACCGCAGACAAAUCUUCCGUAUGUGUUCUCAAACCGUGUCCUGAAGACGAGGUACUCAGAGACAAGACCGUCACAGUUCUGGUGUGAUGUGGAGAAGGACUAUCCUGAUUUGUGGAAACAUGCACAGAAUGAACUGCUGCCUUUUGGAUCUACGUGCUUACGUAAAGUGACGUUUUCAUCCGUGGCCCUAAUCAAGCUCAAGCACAGGAACAGACUCGACAUGGAGAAAAGCCUGAUCACUGUUGUUGCCACGCUGCCCCUAAGAUUGACAAAGCUUAUGAGUGAGGGACAGGGUCAAGUUUCUCAUUGUUUGUGUCAUACAUAAGUCUACUCUGUAAAUAUGGGUUACAUGUAUUGGGAGUACGUGUAUAAAAUGUGAUCUUUGUUUUUGUAUAAUUUGUC